rnacentral:rRNA from 1 species
GGAAUUUUCCGCAAUGGGCGAAAGCCUGACGCAGCGACGCCGCGUGGGGGAUGACGGCCCUCGGGUUGUAAACCUCUUUUACCACCAACGCAGGGGGUUGACGGUAGGUGGGGAAUAAGGACCGGCUAACUACGUGCCAGCAGCCGCGGUAAUACGUAGGGUCCGAGCGUUGUCCGGAAUUAUUGGGCGUAAAGAGCUCGUAGGCGGCGUGUCGCGUCUGCUGUGAAAGACCGGGGCUUAACUCCGGUUCUGCAGUGGAUACGGGCAUGCUAGAGGUAGGUAGGGGAGACUGGAAUUCCUGGUGUAGCGGUGAAAUGCGCAGAUAUCAGGAGGAACACCGGUGGCGAAGGCGGGUCUCUGGGCCUUACCUGACGCUGAGGAGCGAAAGCAUGGGGAGCGAACAGGAUUAGAUACCCCAGUAGUC